UCAUGCCCGUGUUAUAUGGUCUGAUAUACCACCGCUGACAGCCAAUCAGCAUUCAGGGCUCGAACCACCCAGGUUAUAACUAUCCUUAUAUAGCCAUUCAUUUUUCAUGAAUUCAAUAUAUUGUCUUAUCCCAGACAGAUUUCAUUUUGCGUGCAGGGUUGCGAAUUUAUCAACAUUACAUGUAAUUUCAGAUCAUGUCUGUCCUUCUCCCAAAGACAUUACCAAUACGAACUUAAUUUAUUUUUUAAUUAAGAUAAAUGUUAUUGUAUUCUGAGAGGCUAAUAUGAUUGUAAUAACAAUGACAUUUUGAACUAUUCAGAAUGUUUUAAUUCAGAGUGAAUGUAUGAUUAUUAUUUUUUUUUUUCAGUUCUACAAUUUCACACUAGUGGGCUACAGGUAAGGGCAUAGUGGGGAAAUUGGGUUAGAUAGGAGUGACCAGUGAAUUAUACAAUAAUGGGGAAUUUCCUGAGUGAUAUUUCUAUUUCUAUCUCUAUCUCUACCCCCACCCCACCUCACAAGCUCUGACCUUGCUGGAUAGCUAUUUGUUGAGUAAAAAAUGACCGUGAAGUGGUAACUGUAAAUCGCUCUGGAUAAGAGCGUCUGCUAAAUGACUAAAAUGUUAAUUCCACGCCUGAUAGCAGCUAGAUAGGUUUAAUAUCCCACGCCUGGUAGCAGCUAGAUAGGUUUAAUACCCCACGCCUGGUAGCAGCUAGAUAGGUUUAAUAUCCCUCGUCAAAUAGCAGCUAGAUAGGUUUAAUAUCCCACGCCUGAUAGCAGCUAGAUAGGUUUAAUAUCCCACGCCUGAUAGCAGCUAGAUAGGUUUAAUAUCCCACGCCUGGUAGCAGCUAGAUAGGUUUAAUAUCCCUCGCCUGGUAGCAGCUAGAUAGGUUUAAUAUCCCACGCCUGGUAGCAGCUAGAUAGGUUUAAUAUCCCACGCCUGAUAGCAGCUAGAUAGGUUUAAUAUCCCACGCCUGAUAGCAGCUAGAUAGGUUUAAUAUCCCACGCCUGAUAGCAGCUAGAUAGGUUUAAUAUCCCACGCCUGAUAGCAGCUCGAUAGGUUUAAUACCCCACGCCUGGUAGCAGCUAGAUAGGUUUAAUAUCCCACGCCUGAUAGCAGCUAGAUAGGUUUAAUAUCCCACGCCUGGUAGCAGCUAGAUAGGUUUAAUAUCCCACGCCUGGUAGCAGCUAGAUAGGUUUAAUACCCCACGCCUGGUAGCAGCUAGAUAGGUUUAAUAUCCCUCGUCAAAUAGCAGCUAGAUAGGUUUAAUAUCCCACGCCUGGUAGCAGCUAGAUAGGUUUAAUAUCCCUCGUCAAAUAGCAGCUAGAUAGGUUUAAUACCCCACGCCUGAUAGCAGCUAGAUAGGUUUAAUAUCCCACGCCUGGUAGCAGCUAGAUAGGUUUAAUAUCCAACGCCUGGUAGCAGCUAGAUAGGUUUAAUAUCCCACGCCUGAUAGCAGCUAGAUAGGUUUAAUAUCCAACGCCUGGUAGCAGCUAGAUAGGUUUAAUAUCCCACGCCUGGUAGCAGCUAGAUAGGUUUAAUAUCCCUCGUCAAAUAGCAGCUAGAUAGGUUUAAUACCCCACUCCUGGUAGCAGCUAGAUAGGUUUAAUAUCCAACGCCUGGUAGCAGCUAGAUAGGUUUAAUAUCCCACGCCUGAUAGCAGCUAGAUAGGUUUAAUAUCCCACGCCUGAUAGCAGCUAGAUAGGUUUAAUAUCCCACGCCUGGUAGCAGCUAGAUAGGUUUAAUAUCCCACGCCUGGUAGCAGCUAGAUAGGUUUAAUAUCCCACGCCUGGUAGCAGCUAGAUAGGUUUAAUAUCCCUCGUCAAAUAGCAGCUAGAUAGGUUUAAUAUCCCUCGUCAAAUAGCAGCUAGAUAGGUUUAAUAUCCCUCGUCAAAUAGCAGCUAGAUAGGUUUAAUAUCCCUCGUCAAAUAGCAGCUAGAUAGGUUUAAUAUCCCACGCCUGGUAGCAGCUAGAUAGGUUUAAUAUCCCUCGUCAAAUAGCAGCUAGAUAGGUUUAAUACCCCACUCCUGGUAGCAGCUAGAUAGGUUUAAUAUCCAACGCCUGGUAGCAGCUAGAUAGGUUUAAUAUCCCACGCCUGAUAGCAGCUAGAUAGGUUUAAUAUCCCACGCCUGAUAGCAGCUAGAUAGGUUUAAUAUCCCACGCCUGGUAGCAGCUAGAUAGGUUUAAUAUCCCACGCCUGGUAGCAGCUAGAUAGGUUUAAUAUCCCUCGUCAAAUAGCAGCUAGAUAGGUUUAAUAUCCCAUGCCUGGUAGCAGCUAGAUAGGUUUAAUAUCCCUCGUCAAAUAGCAGCUAGAUAGGUUUAAUAUCCCUCGUCAAAUAGCAGCUAGAUAGGUUUAAUAUCCCUCGUCAAAUAGCAGCUAGAUAGGUUUAAUAUCCCUCGUCAAAUAGCAGCUAGAUAGGUUUAAUAUCCCUCGUCAAAUAGCAGCUAGAUAGGUUUAAUAUCCCUCGUCAAAUAGCAGCUAGAUAGGUUUAAUAUCCCUCGUCAAAUAGCAGCUAGAUAGGUUUAAUAUCCCUCGUCAAAUAGCAGCUAGAUAGGUUUAAUAUCCCACGCCUGGUAGCAGCUAGAUAGGUUUAAUAUCCCACGUCAAAUAGCAGCUAGAUAGGUUUAAUAUCCCACGCCUGGUAGCAGCUAGAUAGGUUUAAUAUCCCACGCCUGGUAGCAGCUAGAUAGGUUUAAUAUCCCACGCCUGGUAGCAGCUAGAUAGGUUUAAUAUCCCACGCCUGGUAGCAGCUAGAUAGGUUUAAUAUCCCACGCCUGGUAGCAGCUAGAUAGGUUUAAUAUCCCACGCCUGGUAGCAGCUAGAUAGGUUUAAUAUCCCACGCCUGGUAGCAGCUAGAUAGGUUUAAUAUCCCACGCCUGGUAGCAGCUAGAUAGGUUUAAUAUCCCACGCCUGGUAGCAGCUAGAUAGGUUUAAUAUCCCACGCCUGGUAGCAGCUAGAUAGGUUUAAUAUCCCACGCCUGGUAGCAGCUAGAUAGGUUUAAUAUCCCACGCCUGGUAGCAGCUAGAUAGGUUUAAUAUCCCACGCCUGGUAGCAGCUAGAUAGGUUUAAUAUCCCACGCCUGGUAGCAGCUAGAUAGGUUUAAUAUCCCACGCCUGGUAGCAGCUAGAUAGGUUUAAUAUCCCUCGUCAAAUAGCAGCUAGAUAGGUUUAAUAUCCCACGCAUGUUCGUUCAAUCUUCCAGUACGCCACAUUUAUUUGUCCCCUCCCUCCUUCAUACAGAACACAACCUGCUUCGUCUGUUCAUUAGGUUUGGCCUAAUCCAGGUGCUAUGCAGGGUCCCCAAUCAAUUUAUUAAUUACUGCAAACAGCAAAAUAACAUUAUUUUGAAAAUAGAGUGUACUCAAUCUAGUGUCACGACGCACCCUUUUCUGGGUGAAGAUCAUAGCCCUCUCUCUCUCUCUCUCCCACCACAGGUUUAUGACGGUCAUAAAUACCUGAAACUCUUUGCCCCACUCGGCCAAAAUGAAGGUUCAGAAUCCCUUUGUUACCACAGAGAAAGAUUGUGCAGUACGGUAACCAGAUUGUGCAGUACGGUAACCAGAUUGUGCAGUACGGUAACCAGAUUGUGCAGUACGGUAACCUCAAAAGACUGAAUAAUGUAACUAUUUCUGUAUUCCAACCAGUUGAAAUUGUCCGUGGGUACUCAAAGAACAAUCAUGUUGAAUUCCUUACUAAUUUGUAAUGUAACUACCACAGCUGAACAACAUAACUGUUUCUCUGAAUGUGUAUAUUUCCCAGUUACCAGAUUUACAUUUGAAUGUUGUAUAAAAUCAAUGAUGGAGUAUGGGACUACUUUUGAAAAGAUGAAAUGUGAUGCUAGCCUUCUAAAUGAGAGUAUAGUUUUUCAUGUAAAGUAUCAAAGUCAGUGACCACAGAGCACAUUUACAAAAUGUACAUUUAGUCAAGAUAACGCCAGGACAGGGUCCCCACGCUGAAAUGGCUAAAACUCUAGACCAAAACACGCAGGGUGAUGCUGGUGUGUGAAGUGGUUCAAACUACAACUCUACCAAAGGACAAGCCCAGAGAAUGUGGAGAUCAUCCCCACGCUGAAAUGGUGAAGAAAUCUACAAACUAAAGACCAAUUAUUCAGGCUGUAGCUUUUUAAGUACUUUAGUCUAGUAAACGCAACCAGUCGAAUGACCGAAUAGUACUCUGACGUAUCUAUUAUAACAAGCUACAACUGCCAAAGACUUUGAUCUAUGGUGGACAAACCAGAGACUUUCUGUCGACAAUCUAUCCAGCAGACAGACUGGCGAUCGCAGAGAGGGACAACAAAGGCCCUCUCUGCGAAGGGGUGGGGCCAGCCUUUCCUUUUUCUACCAAGCCGUCAUAUCAACUUAGCCCACUAGGGACUUUUCAGUGUAUCAUGUCAGUAACCAAUGUACAACUAUUGUGUGUGUGUGUUUAUGUAAUU